GCUGCCAGUGAGCGUGCAAAGAAGAGGAGGGGGGAACAAGCGUGCACCGGAGAAAGGAGGAGGAGUAACGGGAGAGAGAGUGCAAACAAUGUCAUUCUGUUCAGGAGGCAGUGCUGCAGUCAACUUUGCCGCGCCAUGAAAGCACAUCACCAGUGACCAGGAGGCUCGCAGAGAGUGAAGAGAAGUUUUUGUCCUCUCCUCCUUCGCUGUGAUGCAGUGCCAGACUCUUCUGUAGAGUUCCUGUCUGGUCGCCCGCAGCGGGACAAAGACGAAGCUCCAGGCAGAGCUCAAAGCUCCGUGAGUGUGGCAUCCUGGUGACUUUGCUCUCUCAUUGAUGAGGUCAUCGGCCUGUUGACGGGCCGCAGCGGAGGGCGACGCCACUGAUGUACAGCACGCCACUUUUAUGAGACGCUCAGGUAGCCAAACUCAGGCCAUAUUGUAGCAGGCUCAUGAACUGGGUUCGACCGCUGGUGGCAUGUUGGAACAUGCCUUGACUUGUUGUGCUGUCUGGGUGAAGCACACACAGAAAGAGAGAGAGAGAGAGAGAGAGAGGAGGCACAGAGAAAGAGAAGAGGCUGGUGGUCAACUGGAACCUUGUGUGAAGUGACCCUGCAGCGCCCUGCAGAUUUGGGUGGAUGGAGGAGCUCCGCCGCCGCCUUAUUCCCUGGUCUUCUAGUGAUUGGCGAAGCAUCCCGACACCAAAAACCCGGGAAAGUGAGAUGCAAACGUCAGCAGUGCCAGACUGAAGGGGUCAAACUGUGCGGCUAAAACCAGCCAAGUUCCUGCUGAGAGUAAGCAGGCGGACAGACGGGUGGACGGACGGUAGGCUGCGGCUGCUGUGGGUGUUUCUCUGGCAGUGUCUUAGCUGGUUGUUGUGAGGAGUGAGAACGAAGCAAUCAGCAAGUAUACUGCCGCAGAAAUUCUUCGCAAUAAGACGCCCUGGGAUCAAUGCUCGUCACGAGGUGCAGAGACCGAACAAAGGUUUUUCACGUGGAAACAGACCCGGGCUGUAAACUCAAAAUGGAAACGGGAUAAUCUGAAGACAGAUGGAGAAAGAGAGAGAGAGAGAGAGAGAGCAUGACUUUUUUUAUUACCAACAUUUACUGUACAUUGGGAUGAAGGCAUCGAACCUCUGAACUUUAAGCUGUAGUUCCAUGUUCUUCUGCUGCCAUCUUGUGACUGAAAGCAGCCUCUCUGCAUGCUUUUGUUGAUUAAAGUCUGCACCGAUUUAUUGAACCUACAUCAAUCUUUUUUUGUUUUUAGCGUCAAAAAAAUAUCUGCAUGUCUUAAUAGUACUAGAUCCUCUUUUUUUGUAAGCGCAUCCUUCUUUGUAACCAAGCUUAACUUAAUGUGAAUAUAUCAAACUUAUUAGCCAAGGCAUUUCUCCAUGUUAGAUAUUUUAAUUGUAAAAAGGUUGUAAUAAAUGUUUCAUAAUAACUUA